AGUGAACGCUGGCGGUAGGCCUGACACAUGCAAGUCGAACGGCAGCACAGUAAGAGCUUGCUCUUACGGGUGGCGAGUGGCGGACGGGUGAGGAAUACAUCGGAAUCUACUUUUUCGUGGGGGAUAACGUAGGGAAACUUACGCUAAUACCGCAUACGACCUACGGGUGAAAGCAGGGGAUCUUCGGACCUUGCGCGAUUGAAUGAGCCGAUGUCGGAUUAGCUAGUUGGCGGGGUAAAGGCCCACCAAGGCGACGAUCCGUAGCUGGUCUGAGAGGAUGAUCAGCCACACUGGAACUGAGACACGGUCCAGACUCCUACGGGAGGCAGCAGUGGGGAAUAUUGGACAAUGGGCGCAGGCCUGAUCCAGCCAUACCGCGUGGGUGAAGAAGGCCUUCGGGUUGUAAAGCCCUUUUGUUGGGAAAGAAAAGCAGCAGGUUAAUACCCCGCUGUUCUGACGGUACCCAAAGAAUAAGCACCGGCUAACUUCGUG
rnacentral:rRNA from 1 species